UCUCAACUGCAGUUCUCCCACAAAAACAAACAACAUCCAAACUUUUGCACAGAUGAAUGUGCAUAUUGUGUAAAGAAAAACAGAAGUGUUCCGCUGAUCACCGCUAUCCUGGGGGCGGAGCUGACAGUGCAGACUCUUCCUGGAAGGGGCGGUUCCCCACUUUGUGAUGUCACAAUGUCAGGAUCUGCUACCUUUUGUGGGUGGGGAGGGGCUGGUGCUCAGAGAUCAGGCUUUUAGAGGAUUACUCAGAAAAAGAGGGACCAAAUAUCGACACAGCGAACUAACAACACAUUCAACUCACCAACGAUUCCCGAUCCCCUCGUUUCCUUAAUCGUUUUUAAAACAUACAUCAUGGAAUUCCAUGGGGGGGCACUUCUCAUGAACAGUUUCACUCUCCGUCCUAACAUUUUAUUUCUUAAUUGGAGCUUUGUUUAUUACUUACCGUUAAAUGUAUGUUACUGUUACCAUAAAGAAACCAUAUGUAUUGAUAAUUUUAUUUUACUUUUUCAAAGGAAGUUAAACUAAAAUAUUGUUCAUAAAUUAUUCUAAACAGGAUGUUUACGGGAAAAUAAGAUAUAUAUUUCUAGAAAACCCAGUAAUAUAUUUUAGUGUCUAAGGUAAUAUUUUGAUUAUUGCAAUGUUUGUCCUAUUGAGUACUAUUUAAUUGGUAUUGAGAUUCACGAUAUUCAUGGUAUCAAAUAUUGCUGUUGGUUUUGAGAAACAUAAGUCUUGAAUCGCAUCGUAUCGGAGUGACCCUGACAUUCCCAGCCCGUCUCAGGAGCGCGUAAACAGAUCAAUGAACCGCGCUGGAGUUGUUAAAUAUUUAGUACACUUAAAUACCCCAAAAGGUAAUUUGCAAUUUAUAUAUACUUUAAGCUAUUAGGUUUUGAAGUUUGUUGUUUGAUUGUAAGUUUGUUUUUAUUUAAUUUGAAAUUGUUAGGUUUUGUUUCCAACUGUGUUUACAUUUGGAUCACGAAUCCUUAAUAAUAAAUUCUGUUCAAUGUUACUGAUUAUUAUUCCAAUUAACAGAACGGAGUCCUCUGUAAUCUCUGAUCUCUGAUCUCUGAUGCAGAUCUGAUCAUCACUGCUGAACCUGGAGAUGACGUCACUCUGAGAUGUGAAGAUACAAACAUCUACAAGGAUUUAUCUUUUGAGUGGACCAGACCUGACCUGCAGGAGAAAUAUGUGUUUAAAUACAGAAGUGGUGGUGAGGAUUCAGACGAUCAGCAUGAAUCCUUCAAGAACCGAGUGUCUCUGGAUCAGAUGAAGGAUGGAGAUCUGUCUGUGGUUCUGAAGAAUGUGACCAUUAAUGACACUGGAAUAUAUCAGUGUAGAGUCAAACAACAAAAUGAUCCACAGAGAGAGAUGAGUCUGAUCUCCACCAUCCAUCUGCAGGUGUCUCUACCUCCUCCAGGAGAGAAAGGAGGAGGGAGAGGAGACAAAGAUGGAGAGAACAAGGAUGGAGACAGUCAUGGUCAUCUUGGACUAAUACCUCUGUCAGGUCUUCUUCUUGCUGUUCUGGCUCUUGUUGUUGGUUUCUGGAUUAACAAGAAGAAAAAAGGUUCAAGAGGUUCCAACAACCAGCAGAAUCCUGAACAUGAUCCUCUGAACUCAGAUUCUAACACAGAGAGAAACACAACAACCAUUUAACCUGCGGUCUGAAGUUCUAAAGUUCUGAACUGGAGCUUCUCUGCAGGUCAAAGUCUAAAACAUUUCUGAUUCAAAAUCCAAAGAAGAACCAGAGGUUUGUCAUUGGAACCUCCAGCCUCCAGUGGAUGAACUGUUCCAGUUGUUCAAAGUGUCUCCUCAUCUGAGUAAAGCUGGAUGUUCCUGAAGUGAAGAAAGGUGGAGAUCAGCUACCAUGUCAGCUGCAGCUGCUGAUGUGUUCUCUGGUGUUGAUCUGCUGCUUUGGUCUCCAUGAAUGCUGCCUCUCCUUUCUAACAUCAACCUGAACAUCUUCCUGCCUCCUGACCACCUUCCUGCUGCUGUUCUGAAGAUGGAGUCUUCACAGGUCAAUCCUUUCAUUCUGAACCUGCAGGUUCUGGUUCUGCAGGUUCUGGUUCUGACCCAACAGGAUCAGUUUGUACAGAAUCAGUGACUGUUCCAUCACUGCAGUAGAUCUUCAUGUUUGUUCUAGAAGAGAUUCAAGACAAUAAAACGUUCUCA